rnacentral:rRNA from 1 species
GAUGAACGCUAGCGGCAGGCUUAAUACAUGCAAGUCGUGGGACCGGCAAACGGGUGCGGAACACGUACGCAACCUUCCUUCAAGUGGGGGAUAGCCCAGGGAAACUUGGAUUAAUACCCCGUACUUGAAGAUGGGCGUGCGCCUGAUUAGGUAGUUGGCGGGGUAACGGCCGACCAAGCCUGCGAUCAGUAACGGGUGUGAGAGCACGACCAGUCACACGGGCACUGGGACACGGGCCCGACUGCUACGGGAGGCAGCAGUAAGUAAUAUUGGUCAAUGGGCGUAAGUCUGAACCAGCCAUGCCGCGUGGAGGAUGAAGGUCUCUGGAUUGUUAACUUUUUUUAUCUGGGAAGCGGUACCAGAUGAGUAAGCACCGGCUAACUCCGUGCCAGCAGCCGCGGUAAUUC